rnacentral:rRNA from 1 species
UACGGGGGGGGGCAAGCGUUGUUCGGAAUUACUGGGCGUAAAGGGCUCGUAGGCGGCCAACUAAGUCAGACGUGAAAUCCCUCGGCUUAACCGGGGAACUGCGUCUGAUACUGGAUGGCUUGAAUCCGGGAGAGGGAUGCGGAAUUCCAGGUGUAGCGGUUGAAAUGCGUAGAUAUCGGGAGGAACACCUGUGGCGAAGGCGGCCCCCUGGUUGGAUACUGACGCUGAUACGCGAAAGCGUGG